rnacentral:rRNA from 1 species
AAUAUUGGACAAUGGGCGAAAGCCUGAUCCAGCCAUGCCGCGUGUGUGAAGAAGGUCUUCGGAUUGUAAAGCACUUUAAGUUGGGAGGAAGGGCAGUARGUUAAUACCUUGCUGUUUUGACGUUACCAACAGAAUAAGCACCGGCUAACUUCGUGCCAGCAGCCGCGGUAAUACGAAGGGUGCAAGCGUUAAUCGGAAUUACUGGGCGUAAAGCGCGCGUAGGUGGUUUGGUAAGAUGGAUGUGAAAUCCCCGGGCUCAACCUGGGAACUGCAUCCAUAACUGCCUGACUAGAGUACGGUAGAGGGUGGUGGAAUUUCCUGUGUAGCGGUGAAAUGCGUAGAUAUARGAAGGAACACCAGUGGCGAAGGCGACCACCUGGACUGAUACUGACACUGAGGUGCGAAAGCGUGGGGAGCAAACAG